rnacentral:misc_RNA from 1 species
GAAACAGGAGUUGAGCGGCUUCAUGUAUUCCCUACGUUUCUUGUGGGAUUUAAAAUUUUGGGUGUUGCACUCUCAGGUUUGAAAAUAGAAAAACUUGAUUUCAAGAAUCUACCUACCCGACCAUAUAAAGGAUUUCGAGCUCUAACCAGGUCUGGGCAAUAUGAAGUCAGGUCAUAAUUAAAUUUCAGAGCUUUGAUGUUGAUUGAGACUGUUGAAGAGUUCUCUGUAUGAUAGAAUCUUAUUCUUACAUGAUC